GCCAACGUAGCUCAACGGUAGAGCUCUGGUUUUGUAAACCAGGGGUUAUCGGUUCGAAUCCGAUCGUUGGCU
rfam:Planctomycetes bacterium GWF2_50_10 gwf2_scaffold_7996, whole genome shotgun sequence.